rnacentral:rRNA from 1 species
GGCUCAGAGUGAACGCUGGCGGUAGGCCUAACACAUGCAAGUCGAACGGCAGCACAGUAAGAGCUUGCUCUUAUGGGUGGCGAGUGGCGGACGGGUGAGGAAUACAUCGGAAUCUACCUUUUCGUGGGGGAUAACGUAGGGAAACUUACGCUAAUACCGCAUACGACCUUCGGGUGAAAGCAGGGGACCUUCGGGCCUUGCGCGGAUAGAUGAGCCGAUGUCGGAUUAGCUAGUUGGCGGGGUAAAGGCCCACCAAGGCGACGAUCCGUAGCUGGUCUGAGAGGAUGAUCAGCCACACUGGAACUGAGACACGGUCCAGACUCCUACGGGAGGCAGCAGUGGGGAAUAUUGGACAAUGGGCGCAAGCCUGAUCCAGCCAUACCGCGUGGGUGAAGAAGGCCUUCGGGUUGUAAAGCCCUUUUGUUGGGAAAGAAAAGCAAUCGGCUAAUACCCGGUUGUUCUGACGGUACCCAAAGAAUAAGCACCGGCUAACUUCGUGCCAGCAGCCGCGGUAAUACGAAGGGUGCAAGCGUUACUCGGAAUUACUGGGCGUAAAGCGUGCGUAGGUGGUUGUUUAAGUCUGUUGUGAAAGCCCUGGGCUCAACCUGGGAAUUGCAGUGGAUACUGGGCGACUAGAGUGUGGUAGAGGGUAGUGGAAUUCCCGGUGUAGCAGUGAAAUGCGUAGAGAUCGGGAGGAACAUCCAUGGCGAAGGCAGCUACC